rnacentral:lncRNA from 1 species
UAAGGCUGCCCCUUGGUAGACUUGUGCCAAGCAUGAGGAUGGCCCAGGUCUCCAUGCUACCUUCCCCUGAGAGCCUCUGCCUCUGUGGAUAAGCCUUCUGAAGCACUGGGCGCCUCAGGCUGCCUGCUGCCUGCUGACGAUUCUACUGAAGGCUCCUACAGCAAAAGAAGUACUAAGAGGAAAGUUUAUAGUGAUAAGCACCUACAUAACAAAAAACUUCAAAUAAACAACCUAAUGAGGCAUCUUAAGGAAUGAGAAAAGAGCAAACUGAAUACAAAAUUAGUAGAAGAAAAGAAAUAAUAAAGUUCACAGCAAAAAUAAAUGAAGAAAACAAUACAAAAGAUCAAUAAAAUAAAAAUUUGUUUUUUUGAACAGAUGAACAACAUUGACAAACCUUCAGGCAGACUAAGAAAAAAAAGAGCAAAAAACCCAAAUAAAUAAAAUUAGAGAUGAAAGAGGAGACAUUGCAGCUGAUUUCACAGAAAUUCAAAGUAUCAUUACAGGCUGCUAUGAACAACUAUAUGCCAAUAAAUGGGAAAACCUGGAAGAAAUGGAUAAAUUUCUAGAAAAAUACAACCUACCAAGAUUGAACCAUGAAGAAAUCCAAAACCUGAACAGAUCAAUAACAAGUAAUAAGAUCGAAGCUGUAAUAAAAAGUCUCCCAGAAAAGCAAAGCCUAGGAUUCAAUGGCAUCACUGCUGAAUUUUAUCAGACAUUAAAAAAGAGCUAAACCCUAUUCAAAUUAUUCCAAAAAACUUAUUCUACAAGGCGAGUAUUACACUAAUACCAAAACCAGACAAAGAUGCAUAAAAAAAGAAAACAAUAUGCCAAUAUCCCUUAUGAACAUUGAUGCAAAAAUCCUCAACAAAAUACUAGUAAACCAAAUUUAACAGUACAAUAAAAUGAUCAUUCAUCAUGACCAAGUUGGAUUUAUCCCUGGGAUGUAAGAAUGGCUCAACAUAUGCAAAUCAAUCAAUGUCAUACGUCAUAGCAAUGAAGGACAAAAACCAUAUGAUCAUUUCAAUUGAUGCUGAACAAGCACUUAACAAAAUUCAACAUUUAUUCAUGAUAAAACCCUAAAAAAAUUGGAUCUAGAAGGAACAUACCUUAGCACAAUAAAAGCCAUUUACAACAGACUCAUAGCUAGUAUAAUACUGAAUGAGGAAAAACUAAAAGCUUUUCCUUUAAGAUCGAGAACAUGACAAGGAUGCCCACUUUCACCACUGUUAUUUAAUGUAGUACUGGAAGUCCUAGCUGGACCAACCAGACAAGAGCAAGAAAUAAAGGAAAUCCAAAUUGGAAAGGAAGAAGUCAAAUUAUCUUUGUUUGCAGAUGCUAUGAUCUUAUAUUUGGAAAAGCCUAGAGAUUCCACAAGAGAACUAUUAGAACUGAUAGACAAAUUCAGUAAAUUUGAAGGAUACAAAAUCAACAUACGAAAAUCAGUAGCAUUUCCAUAUGACAACAGUGAAUCUGAAAAAGAAAUCAGGAAAUUAAUCAUAUUUACAAUAGCCAAAAACAAAAUAAAAUACCUAAAAAUUAACCAAAGAAGUCAAAGAUGUCCACAAUGAAAAAUAUAAAACACUGAUGCAAAAUUUGAAGAGAAUAUAAAAAAAUGAAAAGAUAUUCCAUGUUAAUGGAUUGGAACAAUCAAUAUUGUUAAAAUAUUCAUACUACCUAAAACAAUCUAUAGAUUAAAUGCAACCCCUAUGAAAAUACCAAUAACACUCUUCACAGAAAUAGAGAAAAACAAUCCUAAAAUGUAUAUGGAACCAUAAAAAACCCAGAAUAGCCAAAGCUAUCCUCAGCAAAAAGAACAAAACUGAAGGAAUCACAUUAUCUGACUUCAAAUUAUACUACAGAGCUAUAGCAACCAAAACAGCAUGGUACAGUCAUAAAAACAGACACAUAGGCCAAUGAAACAGUAUAGAGAACCCAGAAACAAAUCCAUACAUCUACAGUAGACUCAUUUUCAACAAAGCCAAAUAUAUACAUUGGAGAAAGGAUAGUCUCUUCAAUAAAUGGUGCUGGGAAAACUGGAUAUCCUUAUGCGGAAGAAUAAAACUAGACUCCUAUUUCUCAUCACACACAGGAAUCAAAUCAAAAUGGACCAAAGAUUUAAAUAUAAGACCUUAAACUGUGAAACUACUCAAAGAAAACCCUGAGGAAACUACCCAGGACAUUGGUCUGGGUAAAGAUUUCUUGAGUAAUACUCCACAAGCACAGGCAGCCAAAGCAAGAAUGGACAAAUGGGAUCACAUCAACUUGAAAAGCAUCUGCACAGCAAAGGUAACCAUCCACAAAAUGAAGAGUCAACCCAAAGAAUGGAAGAAAAUAUUCACAAACUAUCCAUCUGACAAGGGAUUAAUAGCCAGAAUAUAUAAGGAGCUCAAAUGACUUUAUAGGAAAAAACCUAAUAAUCAGAUUUUAAAAUGAGCAAAUAUCUGAAUAAACAUAUCUCACAAGAAGAUAUACAAAUGGCAACAGGUAUAUGAAAAGGUGCUCAACAUCAUAGAUCAUCAGAAAAAUGCAAAUCAAACUACAAUGAGAUAUCACCUUACUCCAGGUAAAAUGGGUUAUAUCCAAAAGACAGGCAACAACAAAUGCCAAAGAGGAUGUGGAGAAAAGGGAACCCUUGCACACUAUGGAAUGGAAAUUAGUACAGUCACGAUGGAGAACAGUUUGGAGGUUCCUCAAAAAACUAAAAAUAGAGCUACCAUAUGAUCCAGCAAUCCCACUGGUAAGUAUAUACCCAAAAGAAGGGAAAUCAAUAUAUUGAAGAAGUAUCUGCUCUCCAGUGUUUAUUGCAGAAUGAUUCACAAUAGCCAAGAUCUGGAAGCAACCUAAGUGUCCAUCAACGGAUGAAUGGAUAAAGAAAAUGUGGUACACAUUCCAUAAAAAAGAAUGAGAUCCUGUCAUUUGCAACAACAAGUAUGGAGCUGGAGGACAUUAUGUUAAGUGAAGUAAGUCAGGCACAGAAAGACAAACUUGGCGUGUUCUCACUUAUUUGUGGGAGCUAAAAAUUCAAACAAACUCAUGGAGGUAGAGAGUAGAACAAUGGUUACUAGAGGCUGGGAAGGGUAGCAGGUUAGUGAGGAGUAAGGAGGGAAUGGUUAAUGGGUACAAAAAUAUAGUUAGAAUGAAUAAGAUCUAGUAUUUGAUAGCACAACAGGGUGACUAUAGUCAACAAUAAUUUAGUGUACAUUUGAAAAUAGCUCAAAGAGUAUAAUUGGAUUGUUUGUAAUACAAAGAAAGGAUAAAUGCUUGAGGCAAUGGAUCCUCCAUUUACCCUGAUGUGAUUAUUAUUUGUUGUAUGCCUGUGUCAAAAUAUCUCAUGUACCCUAUAAAUAUAUGUACCUACUGCGUACCCACAAAAAUUAAAGAUUAAAAAAAGAUUAAUUAUAACAAGAGAUUGCCUACUAAGAGGCAAAGAGAACUCCAAGGAAUAUAGUAAUAGCAGAUAUAAGGAACAGCUACUACCGCUAGGACUGAGGCAGAACACCCAAGGAGAGGAAAUCCCCACAGUCAUCAAAGUCCACUUUCAACCCCCCACCUGCAUCCCCAGGCUGAGAUCCAGACCUCAUUGGAGAGGGUGUGGGCGUGGCCUGUUGAAUACAAGAUACACAAUGCCAGAUGGCACUCUGGCAAAAGUUACUGAGAGGCCCCUUUAUGGAGCUGGGGGAGGCUCUCUGUGGGGAGGUACUGUACUGGUGAUAUCUGCUGGGAGGCUAUACUCUGGUGGACAUGAGGAAGUCAUUCCCAGGGAGAUGCCACACUAUGGAGCUUACUCUAAAGCUGCCCAUGGAGGUAGUGUACUGAGAAGUGGCUCUGGUUUAUCAGGAGGUGAUGCCACUGAAACUUGCUGAGGGUGAGCACUGGGGCUCCCACCUGUCCCUGGCCACUGGAUGCUAGAGGUGCAAGCCCAGAAGAAGCCUAUUGGAUUCUUCCUCCCCUCCCCUCCCUUCCCAUCUCUUCCUCCCUCCCUUUCCCCUCUUCUUCCUCCCUCUCCCCCUCUCCUCUCCCCUCCCCCUCUCCUCUCCCCUCCCUCUCUUCCCAUCCUUCCUCCUCUUCCCUUCCUUUCCCUUCCCCUCUUCCUUUCCCUUCCCCUCUUCCUUUCCCUUCCUCUCUUCCUUUCCCUUCCCCUCUUCCUUUUCCUUCCCUUCCUUCAGCUCCCCCUCUCUCUGACUCUUCCUUUCUCUCUCUCUCUCCCUGACUCCUCUAUACCCCUUUAACCAAAGUCAGUUUCUUUAGAAGACUCAGGACACUUCUUGUGUGUCUGGGCAUGGCAAUUUGUUCAUCAGUUUCCUAUGAGCAUAUUAAAACACUAAUUAUAACUAUGAAAAUGUACAGUUGGUGUAUAGUUAGCUCUUACACCAUAUCAGCUGAUGGGAAGUAAGACUGAAAAAAAAAUAGAAUAAUGUCUUUCAUUAGGAGAUUAGAUUGUGCUGUGUGCAUUUUGUAUCAUGUUUUCUUCUUUGCUCUUACAUAUAAAAAGCAGUGUUUCUACAUAAGAUUUGCAUGAGUGAAAAGAACACAAGGUUAGGAGAUAUCAUCCUGGUUGUGUCCCCAAGUGGUAUGGUGACCCUAAGCAAAUAACACUUUCUUUGAUUUCAGUUUUCUCAUCUUUCAAAUAGGAAUAACAUUUAUUCAUUCACGUACUUGUUAAUCCUGUCUGUAAACAUUUUUUAGGUUGCUUAUUUUGUGUCGGCCGCUGUGCUAGCACUGGAGAUUUGUAGCUUACUAAGUCAUUACCUGUCUCCUUAGGGAGCCACCUUGUAGUCCUAAAAAUAAAAUACAAUGCCCCAUUUUAGAGAGUUCUCAUAAAAAUCAAAUGAGAUGAUGGAUUAUAGGUACUUGAAAAAGAUUAAAAAAUCACUCUUCAAAUGUAAGAGGUUGUACUGAUAUUAAUAUCACAGUCAUCACAACCGCAGAAUGGCAAUUAACUUAUUGUGUUUUUUAUUUCAUUGACAUUAGGGCUAAGAGGAGGAUUGUAAGUGAUUCAGGUAAGGACCAGAACAUCUAUAUUCCCAAAGAAUGUUUCCCAUAAAUUAACAGUCAUUAAAAUUAACCUGUGAAGUUAAUUAUGGUAUGUGACACAGAUGGCUUUAAGCUUUAUGCAGUUAUGUUCUUGACCAGAUGAGGUCUUCCUUUUAUUAGUUUAUGAGUCACAGGGCAAGUGUGAUGGUGUGCUAGGAAUGCUUAAUCAGGAUCAGGAGCUAGAGUUACUUCUGGCCUUGGGGGGAAAAAGAAAACCUUUUCGGCAUAUUCAUUUUUGUUUUUUAUUGUGAAUAAAGCACCCUUUAUUGCUGCUCAGGGUGCAAUAAACCUCUCAAAUCCUUGGGCCCUGGAUCUUGUGUGACCUGCCCUUUCAUCUCUGAUGCUUUCGCUUCUGGAGUUUUGACAAUGUCGGAUCUCCUUCAUGCGCUCUUGCUCCUCUUUGCUCUCUCUCUUUUCCUUUAUCAAGGUCUCACCAGCUCUCUGGGAGGAGGAUUGCAUCAUCCCAACCACAGACUACCCGGAGCUUUGGGUGCUCUGUAGCUGCUCAUGUCCUUUCCAGUCCCUUCAACCAAGGAGAAGAAUGACAGAUUGCUGGCUGAGAGUAUCCAGAGUGGCUGUUAGCUAAUGAUUGCUAUAAAUUCUGAUAAUAAUAAUAGCAAUCAUAAAUAAUAUAAAACAGUGGCAUUGCAGCAGCUGGUAUUCAUGCUGCUCAGACUCUUAUUUAAAGAAUUUAAACUUUUUUUUUGGAGGAGACUUACAAGAAUCUUGGGUCACAUGGUACCACUUGGCCACAAGGACUUGACAAGUAGUAAUGAGCAGGGUUUCUUGAAGGCAGACAGAAAGAUAGGGACAGCUGUCCUGGAGAGUCACCCAUCCUGCAUCAGAACCGAAUAAGUGAGAAAUAAACCUUUAUUGUGUUAGGCCACGGAGGUUUUGGGUUUUGUUUGGUACAUUAGUGUAGCAUGACCUAUCUGUACUACAGUCACUCACAUCGCUGCUGUUAUGUAUUUUUUUAAAUAAGCUUAGCACUGGAGACCCCAUGGCUGGGUUAACUCUAGUUAAAAAUAUUUGUUACGGCCGGGCGCAGUGGCUCACGCCUGUA